CCUACGGGGCGCAGCAGUGAGGAAUAUUGGUCAAUGGGCGCGAGCCUGAACCAGCCAAGUAGCGUGAAGGAUGACUGCCCUACGGGUUGUAAACUUCUUUUGUCGGGGAGCAAAGAGACCGCGUGUGGUCAAAAGCGAGAGUACCCGAAGAAAAAGCAUCGGCUAACUCCGUGCCAGCAGCCGCGGUAAUACGGAGGAUGCGAGCGUUAUCCGGAUUUAUUGGGUUUAAAGGGUGCGUAGGCGGGACGGUAAGUCAGCGGUAAAAAUGCGGAGCUCAACUCCGUCGAGCCGUUGAAACUGUCGUU
rnacentral:rRNA from 1 species